ACUCCUACGGGAGGCAGCAGUGGGGAAUAUUGCACAAUGGGCGCAAGCCUGAUGCAGCCAUGCCGCGUGUAUGAAGAAGGCCUUCGGGUUGUAAAGUACUUUCAGCAGUGAGGAAGGUGGGUAUGUUAAUAGCAUACUCAUUUUGACGUUAGCUGCAGAAGAAGCACCGGCUAACUCCGUGCCAGCAGCCGCGGUAAUACGGAGGGGGCUAGCGUUGUUCGGAAUUACUGGGCGUAAAGCGCGCGUAGGCGGAUCUUUAAGUCAGGGGUGAAAUCCUGGGGCUCAACCUCAGAACUGCCCUUGAUACUGAAGAUCUUGAGUCCGGAAGAGUUAGUGGAAUUCCCAGUGUAGAGGUGAAAUUCGUAGAUAUUGGGAAGAACACCAGUGGCGAAGGCGGCUAACUGGUCCGGUACUGACGCUGAGGUGCGAAAGCGUGGGGAGCAAACAGGAUUAGAUACCCU
rnacentral:rRNA from 1 species